AGCAAACCUAUAGCUCAGUUAGUUGGUAGAACAUGAGACUCUUAAUCUCAGAAUUGUGGUUCUGAGACCCACAUUGGGCAA